rnacentral:rRNA from 1 species
AUGGCCUCGUCCUCCACCACCAGCCCUGGUCUCUUUGGCCAGAUCACCGAGAAGCUUACCCGCACCAACUUCAUCCUCUGGCGGACCCAGAUCACGCCUCAGCUUCAUGGUGCUGGCGUCUUCGGCUAUGUGGAUGGCAGCACGCCGGAGCCGCCCAAGGUCGUCGUCAACAAGGACAAAGACGGGAAGGAGGUCACCACACCCAACCCCCUUCACCCGAUCUAG